rnacentral:rRNA from 1 species
GACGAACGCUGGCGGCGUGCCUAAUACAUGCAAGUCGAACGAGAGCGACCGGUGCUUGCACUGGUCAAUCUAGUGGCGAACGGGUGAGUAACACGUGGGUAACCUGCCCAUCAGAGGGGGAUAACAUCCGGAAACGGAUGCUAAAACCGCAUAGGUCUUCGAACCGCAUGGUUUGAAGAGGAAAAGAGGCGCAAGCUUCUGCUGAUGGAUGGACCCGCGGUGCAUUAGCUAGUUGGUGAGGUAACGGCUCACCAAGGCCGUGAUGCAUAGCCGACCUGAGAGGGUGAUCGGCCACAUUGGGACUGAGACACGGCCCAAACUCCUACGGGAGGCAGCAGUAGGGAAUCUUCCGCAAUGGUCGCAAGUCUGACGGAGCAACGCCGCGUGAGUGAAGAAGGUUUUCGGAUCGUAAAACUCUGUUGUUAGAGAAGAACAAGUGCUAGAGUAACUGUUAGCGCCUUGACGGUAUCUAACCAGAAAGCCACGGCUAACUACGUG